rnacentral:misc_RNA from 1 species
AAAGAAGCAACUCUCUUAUUUCAAGUGAGCUUAUCAUGCAGUUAAAAACUUCAGUUGGACAGAACUUUUAAAUCAGGCAUGGUCACAUGAUAACAAUUGUCUCUCAAUCUGAAACUUGGUAACAAACAUAUACAAGCACUUAUUACAUAUAUCCAACAUAUGAUCGAACUUCUCCUAAUUUUGAAGCCUGAUUCUAAGUUUCUUGUUUUGCUGGAGUUCACCAUGGAAGUAAGAAAUGAAGCCCCAGAGAGACAAAACAAGAGAAAUCCCCUUCUCCACUCGGAAUUUUUCAUGGUAGAACAACACAGCUAAUGUCUCUGUCACAGGCAGCAGAGUAGCAAUUAUAAUACCAGAGAGCAACGAGGAAUGACAGAAAACGACACCAACUGCUCCCAUGAAGAAGAAUUGCCAAAAUACUGCAGUAAACACCAUCACCACAUAAUAUUUUGCUCUCCCAAGCUCGAAGUCUCUUGCCUCUCCUGGAAUUGUCGCAAAAUCCUUGUGCAGAAGCAUCCCAAUGGUGCAGAAUGCAGUAGCGAAGAAAGACAAAACCAUCUGCAUCUCCAUAACUAGAGUGUAAGUGAUGGUCUGCUUUGCUUUCUUAUAUGUCAACUCGAUCAAGGGUAGCACAAACCCAUAAAGCGCUGAAGCUCCAAGUGUCAUAAAAAAACCCAUAAAGUACUGUUUGUCGGUUUCAUGAGCAGGGCGAUCAGAACUAGCAUGGAGGACUAGGACAACAGCUCCAAUCGACAAUAAGAAAAUUGCAUUAAUGGUAAAAGGUGUGAACUUUUGCUUUACCAAAAUAUAAGCAAAUCCAGCAGUAAAGCCCAGUUGGGUAGCUAUUAUAAGAGCAGAAGUAGUGACGGGUAGAAGAGAAACACCAUAGGCAGCAAGAAAAUCAUCCAAGCCAGUAAGAACACCUAUAACAGCACAAGCUAAAAAGAGAUGAGGGCUUAUAUAGAAAAGCUUGGCCCUGGAACCCUUCUUCCUUCGACGAUACAAGUAUGAAACAAAGAGAGGAAAUAUGAUAAAUGGCCAACCAGCUGUCUGAAGAAAGCUUGAUAUCCAGACACCCUUACCACCUUUCAAGAAGUAGAGACGCUGGAUAAGGGGACCUCCACAAUUGCCUAUCGCUAACAUUGCACCGUUCACUAUGAGCAGGAAUUUCUUUAGGGAUUUGCUCAUCUUCUCUUCUUCACCUGAUACUUGGUUAUUACUAAUUUCGGUCUCCAUCUUUGCAAGCACAGUAUCUGCUCACUCUCAAGAAGCACAAUUCACAGAAUGGAUCCUGACAAUGAUAUUGAAAAAGUUCUCUAUAACAGGCUUAUUUGUACCUAUUUAAACAUAAAUUAAGGAACAUGAAGACAUCAAAAUUCUUGCAGGAUAUAAAAGUAAGGCUUGCUAAACUUACAAUGAUUCAUAUUACAUACACUUCUGGAAGCAGGAUCUGCAGGGCUUCUGCCGCAGUUAGUCUAUGAGUAAUUUCCAGGUUUUGGGGGUUUACAUGUCCAAUCAGUAAACUUCAUUUGCACUAGAAAGAGAAAUGGAUUAUUUCAGUCUAAUACACAGGGAAGAAGACAGAAUUCACAAUGGAUUAUUGCUUUUUAGCACCAUAUUGAUUUUUCCUUUUUUAUUCAUUUACCAUUGAUUUGUUCAAAUAAGAAUUUUCCCACAGUGGUAGUAUAAGCGUCUUAAAAUGCGGAGAUGAAUAUGGUCUUCCUUGGAAAACCCAAGGCGAUUUUACAAAUUCUUGAAUACCAGAUAAUACAAUAAAUUUCAAAUCUCAAAUAAUACAAAUUAUUAGGAAUCUUUGGAGAUUUGACCCUUGGAAAAUCACCUUCUAACAGAUCAUCACAUAAGAACAUAAAUAAAUACAUCCCUCUUCAGAAUUCAAAUGUAUGAAGGAAAAUUCAUUUAUCCGCACUUUCAGCCAUAUGAUUAACAUUUGAUUGAUCCAAAUUUACUCGACUCAGAACAUCACUAGCAUUGGUGGCUGAGAUUAAUAAUCAGCAAGGGAGUAUAAAAAAAAAGGACUCACAUUCAACAGUUAGGAAACUAAACAUUAAUGGCAUGCAGUUACACAAGAAAAAGAAUCAUAAAGUUACCUCCUCGAGAAUGGAAAUUGAAUGUUGAACAGAACAAGAUUUCCUAGGCUGCCACCACCUUGCAAGGAUAUAUGGAACUUGCAGUUUUUAAUACUAGCUUUGGCAGGUGCAAAUAGCUGCAGAAGACCCUUCAGCUUGAGGGACACGCAUUGCAAUGAGCUCAGUGACUGUCUUGUGGCAGUGUAACGUGGACGGCAACCAAAGUGGCCGUGGGCCGUAUAAUUUUUCUUCUUUUCAUGGAUCACCUCUAUUGCCAAGCCCAACAAUUUACAAUUCAGCACGAGCAGGAGUUUCUUCAGGAUUUGUUCAUCUGUUCCUCUUACCCAAGCAGGAUUAUACUGUGCCAAGGGCUCAUAUUAUUAGUCACAUCUAAUCCUUACAUUAGCAAGUUAAAUUUUCGAAUUUGUUUUUCUUUACCAACAUGCAGCAAAUCAUAUAUUGUUCGAGCCUCUUACCCAGAAGUAGAUAACAAAAUUAAUUAAGCCCUUGUUUUUUUGAGAUUAUAUGAAUACUAUACCAAGAAUUGAGAUUAUUGUGACAAUCUGAUUUCAUUCCCACCUAAAUAUUUGCACUAUUUCAAUCAACAUACUGUUUUACUGGGCAAAAAAAAUUGCAUAAUCUGUUACUUAAAAAAAAAAGUGAAAAUUCAGUGUUUGGUUAGUAAGAAAAUGCAAGAUUAAAAAAGAAAGAAAGAAAGUGAAAUCCAGUGUUUGGUUAUUAAGAAAAGGCAAGAUUUUCAAUCACGCAGAGAAAGAUAUGAUGAUAUGGAUGAAAUUUGAAUCGUUAGCAACCGUAUUUGAUUAAUGUAGUAUUUAAGCACAUCAUUUAAACAUGCGAGAAAAAAAUACACAAUAUAUCAAAAAAAAAUUUCAUUCCUUUCCAUUCCUUAAAUUUUCUGAGAAAACAAACAGCAAAACAGAGAAACCAAUCUAAAAUUGGAACAAUAUUUAAUUGGAAAUAAGGUACAACACUUAAUAAAGAACAAUCUUUUUUCAAAACUCUAGUGUUUUCAAGAGAAUCAAAAUGUGUACACAAAAGGCGAAAAAAGAACAAGAGGGAAAAAGAGCAAUAGAGAAAAGGCGCAUUCAAAAAUGGGUUUCCCAAUUCCAAUAUCACAGCAGCAGCAAGAAAGUGCAGAAGUUGAAGACAUGCAUAAUCUCCUUGACAUUGUCGAUAUUGAGAACUGGUUCUUUGACACCUCUUAUCUUCUAUCAGUGAAGUGUUCCCUCGUUUAAUUUGGGGAUUG